AUUGAACGCUGGCGGCAUGCCUUACACAUGCAAGUCGAACGGCAGCACGGGAGCAAUCCUGGUGGCGAGUGGCGAACGGGUGAGUAAUGUAUCGGAACGUGCCUUGUCGUGGGGGAUAACGUAGCGAAAGCUACGCUAAUACCGCAUACCAUCUAAGGAUGAAAGCGGGGGAUCGCAAGACCUCGCGCGACAAGAGUGGCCGAUAUCAGAUUAGGUUGUUGGUGGGGUAAAGGCCUACCAAGCCGACGAUCUGUAGCUGGUCUGAGAGGACGACCAGCCACACUGGGACUGAGACACGGCCCAGACUCCUACGGGAGGCAGCAGUGGGGAAUUUUGGACAAUGGGCGAAAGCCUGAUCCAGCAAUGCCGCGUGCAGGAUGAAGGCCUUCGGGUUGUAAACUGCUUUGUACAGAACGAAACAGUCCCCCUAACUACGGGGGCGAAUGACGGUACUGUAAGAAUAAGCACCGGCUAACUACGUAGCCAGCAGCCGCGGUAA
rnacentral:rRNA from 1 species